CAGACCACUUCCUGCAUUGUGUGGUGGGGAGGCUGAGGCCUGGAGAGGAGCAGCAAGGGCCCAAGGCCACACACCCUGUAAGCUGUAGGGCCCCGUGGGAUCCCAGGUCUCCUGGCCUGUUGGAAGGGCGGGGCUGGGAGUGGUGCCAGAGCUGGGAGGUCACCUCCUCCUGGACCCCACCCACCAGCCUAGCUUCUGCCCUGGAGGUUGUGAGCCCCUACAUCCUGGGAGGGUGCAGGGGGCUGUUGGCCACCUCUUUAGGGCCAUGCCCCUUCCCCGUCAGUCUGGGCCCGUAGUGUCAGUUGAUCUCCUCCCUUUGGGACCCAUUGGGGUGGAAACUCCCUGGCAACAGCUGAUGGAUGGGUUAAGGCCUUGACAUUGGCCUGGGGCCACAGCAUGACCCUGGAGGGACCAGGCUAGGGCUGGGGGGCUUGGAGGGGAAUUUAAGGGAGAAGAAUUAGGGUCAUAAAUCUUGGAGCGUCUGGGUUCUCUUCUCCUCGACCUUAAUCUCUUACCAAACCUGCUCUCCGGCUGCUCAUCCAAGUCUGAGGGUUGAGGGGGGUCCACCUGCCCAUUCCCCUCUCCCUCCAACUGAUGCCUCCCCCCCCCCCGAAAUUGCACCCCCUAUGGGGAAGAACAAGUUGCAGCCACUGCCGCUGGACAGAAUUAAGAACUUGUGUGUCUAGACUACUGGAUUUGGCCUCUGAUUCAUAACGGUAGGCAGGGCAGAGAGCUUCACUGCCUCAGUGUCCCCAGCCUUGGGUUUGAAAUCCUCUCCUGGUGCCUGACUGCUCAGUCAGGAAGGAGUGCUAAGACCAAGAGGGAUUUCACAGCUGCGGGACACAUGGCCCUGUCCUCAGAAGCCCCAUUCUGAGAUAAGCAGCACAGUCCUGGCCUUGAGAGCCCUCAAACCCAGAGGAGAAUCUUGGUACCAGGACCACACAAGAAAGAACUUGGAGUCCCCGUGGCUAAUCCAGCAGAGAGAAAAGGAGAAACAGAGAUGCGAGAGAAAAUAAAGGGAACUCUUGGUGCAAUUUGGUGCUGCUGCAGGCCCAAGUCCAGGACAUUUCGUCUUGACAAUCUGCACAUCUGGGAGACUAUCAAGAAAUGCUUUGAGGUCGAUGCCAUUCAGCACAAUCCGAUUGUCAUAAAUGUGCCCAUUGGACUUAAAAUCGAUGACUGCUUUCUUCUUCAGCUGCAUGCAGUGUCUCUCAGCUGCCUCAAAAUCUCCUGCCUGAUAUUCUCGAUGUGCCAACUCAGCUAACCCUUGGAAGGAAAGCAUACGUUUCGUUGGUUCUGUGCUGUCGGCCACGUUGCCCACAGAAGACGCCA